CAGCCGCCGCGGUAAUACGUAGGGUGCAAGCGUUAAUCGGAAUUACUGGGCGUAAAGGGCGUGUAGGCGGCCUGGGGCGUCCCAUGUGAAAGGCCACGGCUCAACCGUGGAGGAGCGUGGGAUACGCUCAGGCUAGAGGGUGGGAGAGGGUGGUGGAAUUCCCGGAGUAGCGGUGAAAUGCGCAGAUACCGGGAGGAACGCCGAUGGCGAAGGCAGCCACCUGGUCCACUUCUGACGCUGAGGCGCGAAAGCGUGGGGAGCAAACCGGAUUAGAUACCCGCGUAGUCCCUGUCUCUUAUAC
rnacentral:rRNA from 1 species